rnacentral:rRNA from 1 species
UACGGGGGGGGCAAGCGUUGUUCGGAAUUACUGGGCGUAAAGGGCUCGUAGGCGGCCAACUAAGUCAGACGUGAAAUCCCUCGGCUUAACCGGGGAACUGCAUCUGAUACUGGAUGGCUUGAGAUUGGGAGAGGGAUGCGGAAUUCCAGGUGUAGCGGUGAAAUGCGUAGAUAUCUGGAGGAGCACCGGUGGCGAAGGCGGCAUCCUGGACCAACACUGACGCUGAAGCGCGAAAGCUAGGGGAGCAAACGGG